AUGACACCAGAACCCCGCGUCUGUCAGGCUGUCAACAUUCCCGCAGCAAGCGCACCAGCGCCGAAGCCCUGAUUGAUCCCAUAUGUCUGGCAGGAGCUGCAGAGGAAUUCACUGGAGAUGGAUCCAGAUACCGAGAGUGCCACAGUAAUUGGAAACACUUCGUAGAGGAAACACACGGACUGGCCAGGGAGUUGAACGCAUCCUUUGAAAACUGCUUGCUCACCUUUUGUGUCUCUUUUUCCCCCUCCGGUUCCUCAAAGCCUUCACCAAGUGGAUGUUUAUUUGCCUUUCCUGGUGGGGCUUUCUGGUCAGCGGUGUGUGUGAGUGUGUCCUCUUGAGGGUCGCCUCAGAUCACACCAUAUAGGGGUUGCAUCUACCCCUAUGCAGCCCAUAGGGAUGAUUUGUCAUGGUGCUGCAUUCAUGCAUUUAUUUAUUCAUCCAUUUGGUCACUCCUUCAUUCAUUCAACAAAUAUUUUUGAGCACCUACUGUGUGCCAGGACACCUGGAAUAUAAGGAGGAACACAAAUUGACAGAUCUUGUCCCCAAGGAACUUAUAGGGUAACAAGUGACGUGACCAUUAACCAGAUAUUUCACAAAUAAUGUAUAUAAUUACAGCUGACCAUGCUAAGGCUAUGAAGCAGAUCUUAGGCAGAUAGAUUUGACCUUAGAAGACCAGGGAAGCCUUUGCAGAGGACAUGAAGUUUGAGCUGAAAUCUGAUGAUGAGCAAGGGUCCCUUUUCCCCAGUCCUCUUUCAUGUACCCAGUGGUCUGUUUCAACAGGUGAGACCCAUAGAGGGCUAUUUCCUUGGCUUUGAAUGGUACCUGGCACAUAGCUACUUUGAAACACAAGUUGCCACCUGGGGGUAGUUUUUCCAAAACAAAACCCCGAAAGGGAUGGUGCAAGUGCAAAGAAGGAGUAAACUUUGCAUAAGAGGUGGAGUAAACUUUGCAAAAAUGAUUCUAGCUAGGAGUCAGGAGCCCUGUGUAGAUAUGCCUCUGCAAUUAUAUAAAUCCCCUGAACCAAGACACUUCCAACUCUUGGCUUCAAUUUCCACAUCUGUUUCAUGAUGGAAUUCAAUGAUCUCAGAGUUUCCUUUGUCUCUAAUAUCAGAUGAUUUAAUUCCAUCUAUAUUUAAUGAAAUACCUUCACAGUAUAUUGGUUGAAAUGUUAGGGCUCUUGGAGUCUGUUUGCCCAGAAUGAAGUCUUGGCUCUGCCAUUCAGUAGUUGUAUGACCUUGACAUUAGUUUGCUCAUCUGUAAAAUGGAGUAAUAAUAAUAGCAUAUUAGAGGUUAUUGUGAGGAUAUAAUCAUAAAAACAAAGUUCUUAGGCUAGUGCUUAGACUAUAGCAUGUACUCUACAAAUGCUGAUUGCUACUAUUGCCACAUUUAACCAUAAAUACUCUUCAAAUCCUCAUUUUUCUAGGAUUUUUCCAUUUGACCAUCUACCGUGCCAGAAUAUUAGAUAUUGAGGAUUUAAAGCUGAAUAAGACUCAGUUCCAGUCUUCCAGAAGUUCAAAGGAUAUCAGAAGAGAACACAGACUUGCAAACAAUUACAGAGCAGUAGGAUGAUUUCAAGGAUGGAGAAGAGAGAGCAAGAAGAGAAAGUUCUCAAUCUUCCCCGGGAAUAAGCAAGACCUCAUUUGAGCUGAGACUUUAAAAAAAGAGAAAUUCUGUCCAAAUUUCAUCUACUCGGUGUUAUUUCAAAUACGUCAUUAAGAGCUAACAUUUUAGGACCUUUAUGUGCCAGGCACCAUGGCAACUACUAUGUGUAUUUGCUCAUAUGCUCCCAAAGAAACCCAGGGAUGUAGACGAUUGCUUUAGGACUUUCUGGUUGCAAGCAAUAGGCACCCAACUUCUCCUUGCUGUAAACAAGAAGGGAUUGCUUCGCUCAGUAACUAAACUGGACAAAAGGCAGUGGUGGACUGGUCUCAAAAAGGCUUGGAAAAGGAAAUCAAGAACUACCAAAGACUAAGACUGAGAAGCAACCUAAAGGUACUGAAAUGACAACAUGGAGCCAGACUGAGAAGAAACUACCUGGGAUUCAUCUCGUGACAUAAAGACAUACGUGGGAAAAAAAAAAAAGUGUGUUGGUGGUGUAAGGGAUGGGGGAUGCCUUAUAUUUGUCUCACCACCUGCACCCUGAUCAACAGGAAACUGAACCUCAAUCCCUGUCUAUCCAAUGGGACUUGUGUAAAGGACACCCACCUUCACCCCACCCUUCACUGCAACCACCUUCCUGCAUUAAAGCAGGUGCUGUAAAAAGACAGGACAGAUUUGUAGGGGGGGGGAGAUAGAAGGGGAAGUGAGGAAGAAAGCAGAGAGUGGUGCUGGCAAAGGUCCUUCUGAGAUGUCAAGAAUCAAGUCCAGUAAAUGGAAGCGGAGGCAGGAAAAGUUUCAGUUUCCACGCAUGUUGGGCAUAGUGUCUCGUUUUGUUUUAAAAUCUAUCACACAGUGUUAGUGAAUCACAGCGACAGGCAGCAGGGACAGUAGGAAGAUGCCACCUUGUGACUGUAUUUUAUAAGACUCUCAGCUGUGAAUUUAACAAAGACAUUCUCCCCUGCACAGAUUGUUUCUUUAAGUAGAAUUAUCUGAAGAUGGAGUUCAUGAUGGAAAAGUCUUAGCAGGGGACACUGUAAACAAUUAAAAAGUAGUAAACAUAAAUGUAUGUUCUAACACUAGAUACAGAUAAAAAAUUUUAAAUACAUAUCAUUUUAUGUGUCUUAUUUCAUUUAAUCCUGCCCUAAAUCCUGAAAUAUAGUGGGUAGUCCAUUUUUAUGGGUGAAGAAAUAGAGCUCUAUGAGGUAGCCAUAAAGUCUGGAAGUAAAAAUGGUUUAUUGCUAUUACAUUGCAGUGCAUGGUGUGUUUAACGUGUUGUCCCUUGCUAGCAGCGCAAGCUUGCAGUGAAGGUGGUAAUUAACACAGCAUGUGUGUCCAUCCCUGCAUUUGUAUGUACAGUGCACUGCCUCAGAUAAUUGUGGUCUCUGAUUUCUGCGGACAAAACCUGAGCCUUUAACAAACCCCAGAGGAAGGAAUCAAGGGGGUUCAGAUCUGGCAGCUUCCUCCACACAACCAUGUCAGCCAAACCAGUUUUGGAAAUUAUCCAACCAAUCCCUCACCUUCUGGCUUAAUGGGGUGCUGAGCGUGCCAGCCUGUUGGAACCACUCCUGGCAGCCUUCCCCUAGCCUGUCAUAUGCCGGCAUUAACUGGUUACUUUACGUGAUAAAAUACAUCUUUUCAGACACGUUACUUCAAAGAAAAAUGGUCCCGAGACACGUGCUUUCCACGGGUCACACCACACCAUCACCUUUGCCUUGCGUGUGAGUGGCUGAAGUACAGCGUGGGUUUUCUUGAUUGUCUCCUGACCCAGCAUUGCAUCUACUGGUUGCCUCCCGUUUUACAUAAAAAGUAGCUUGGUCUCAGUCUUUGGCAUUCUUAUCCAGGAGAUCUGAGCGCCUUGAGCACAUUUCCAAACAACAAUUGGGAUUAUCCUCAGCUAAACUUUGUAGGACUUACAUCUUGAACUGGUGAAAGGCACAUGGAUUGAGAAUUUUUCAUGUGGUACUGAAAAGUACCCCCAGUUUCUAGAAUGCUCUUUGAGCUGGCUAUUAUGUCCACAGUGACCAUUUCUUUUACCUCUUCAGAAACAGUCAUCCACAAAACAGUGUGCCCAAAACGUUGCCUGUGGUCUUGAAUUUGUGAACCAGCCUUCCAAAGGUGCUCUCUUCCAGAAGGACAUGCAUUGAAGGACUCUUUAUAUUCAGUGACAGGACCAGCCCUCAUGUCCACUUAGAAGUAGCAGCAUAGUGUGUUCAUCUUUCAUCAUCUUCAACCUGUAAAAAGUAAAAUAGCAUCAUUUAUGUUUCUAGAUAUUAUAUCCAAGGUCAAGGCUUGAACCAAACUCCAUUUGUGAUUUUCACCGUAAUUCUUGAGGUUGCUCUGCUAAAAACAAAUAAUAAUAAUCAUAG